CCAGAUGCUAAAACCCUCCACAUAUUCGGCAGUUACUCCAAGCGAUCCCCAUAUCCCUCUCCAAAUACUCCAAACAAAGCUCUAAUUUUUCCUUUCAUGGGUUGUUUAUCGGGAGACGACAGCGCGAGGAGGAUAGGCGAUGAGGUGCCGUUGAAGUUGAGGUUGGAGGAAGUGGAGGGGGGCGGCGACCUGGUGGUGGAUUUCGGCGAUCCAGGGGCAUUGUGGGAGACGGCGUUGCGGCGGAGAGGCUCCUACCCUAGAUCUGGGUCAUUGUAUUUUUUAGUAGUAUUAUUGUUAAUUGUUUGAUCAAUGUUUUCUUGAUUGUGGUAGAUUUGAGUCGUAGAAGGGGAUGAUCUUCUGAGGCUUUUUCUCACCAUGGAUGAAACUAGCCUGCAAUAGCAAUUGGAGCAGCAUUUGGAAACUGUCUCUGAGCUUCAUCCAUUCCGGCUUCUUUGGGGGAAGAAGACAAGGAAAGAAAUUUGGCUUUAAAUGCAUCAUAUUUCCUAAAAGCUGGUGGCCACUUUGUCAUAUCUAUCAAGGAGUAAUUGAAAAAGUUAUCAUGAUGGUUAACCAAUGUUCAACUAUUCUAAUGUACAAUGGAAUUGCUUUUGAUCAAGAGCUCGAAGAAAAAUUAUCAGUCCUAGAUUAAUCGCGAGUUGUAGAUUAAGUGCUUAGUUAUUUAGAUAUUUAUAAUUAUAUGUAGUUAGUCAUUUCGCACAUAUACUUUGAUUUUGUUGAAUAUUUUUUAUGUAAAUGUUUUGUAUGAUAUUCUUGUUAUAUUUAAUGUGUUGAGUAUUAUAUUUAAUUUUUUA